rnacentral:rRNA from 1 species
GAUGAACGCUGGCGGCGUGCCUAAUACAUGCAAGUCGAACGCUUCACAUAUGUGAAGAGUGGCGAACGGGUGAGUAAUACAUAAGUAACCUGGCCUUUACAGGGGGAUAACUAUUGGAAACGAUAGCUAAGACCGCAUAGGUGUCAUAACCGCAUGGAGAUGAUAUGAAAUAUGCUACGGCAUAGGUAGAGGAUGGACUUAUGGCGCAUUAGCUAGUUGGAGGGGUAACGGCCCACCAAGGCGACGAUGCGUAGCCGACCUGAGAGGGUGACCGGCCACACUGGGACUGAGACACGGCCCAGACUCCUACGGGAGGCAGCAGUAGGGAAUUUUCGGCAAUGGGGGAAACCCUGACCGAGCAACGCCGCGUGAAGGAAGAAGUAAUUCGUUAUGUAAACUUCUGUCAUAGAGGAAGAACGGUGCGUGUAGGGAAUGACAUGCAAGUGACG